GUAGUUGAUCCGUGCACAGACGACGCUGCGGCAGGCUUAACACAUGCAAGUCGAACGCCCCGCAACGGGGAGUGGCAGACGGGUGAGUAACGCGUGGGAAUCUACCCAUCUCUACGGGAUAGCUCCGGGAAACUGGAAUUAAUACCGUAUACGUCCUGAGGGAGAAAGAUUUAUCGGGGAUGGAUGAGCCCGCGUUGGAUUAGCUAGUUGGUGGGGUAAAGGCCUACCAAGGCGACGAUCCAUAGCUGGUCUGAGAGGAUGACCAGCCACAUUGGGACUGAGACACGGCCCAAACUCCUACGGGAGGCAGCAGUGGGGAAUAUUGGACAAUGGGCGCAAGCCUGAUCCAGCCAUGCCGCGUGAGUGAUGAAGGUCUUAGGAUUGUAAAGCUCUUUUCAGUGGGGACGAUAAUGACGGUACCCACAGAAGAAGCCCCGGCUAACUUCGUG
rnacentral:rRNA from 1 species